rnacentral:lncRNA from 11 species
UCUGGAGUUUAUUAUUAUGGUGGUUGUUAUGAUUGAGGGGAGGCUGUGAAGAAGGCGGUUCUUUGAGGCGGGCGAAUGCGGCUGCUGCGGGGAGCGAGGCAGCGAGCGCCUCAUCCUCCUCCUGCUGCUUCUCGCUUUUCUUCUUUCCCUGCCUGCCUGCCUGCUUCUCAAUGCCUCUUUUUUCUCUCCCGCUCGAAAAUGACGGAAUCCCCCGUCUGUUGCCUCCUGUUUAAUGCCGUUGCCGGGACCACGGUGGCGGGCAGCCAAGGCGGAGGGAGUUCUCCCGGCAGGAGGAGGGGGCGGGAGAGGCCUCCUCCUCCUCCUCCUGCCCCUCGGGUUUGUUGACAGACGCAGCCAGGAGAGAGACACACACAUACAGAGGUUGAGGCCGAGAAGCCAACCUUUCAUUUUGGGUCGACGAACCAGGAGCUUCGAGGACAGAAAACAACCCUAUUUUUAGGCCGUGGCCUCCCUCGCCUUCCAGGUGCCCGCUGCUACUCCUUCUGGGCUGCCGUUUUCAUUGAGACAACCCCAGGCUUGUGGUCAGGAGAAGGCCAGGCCAAAGAGACGCCUCCGCCAUGGAACUCCUUCUGCCCUGUUGUGGAGAAAAGAGGGAAAUUUUGCUCUAAUUUCUCAAUGAUGGAAUAUCUUGUAGAGUCUCCACCAAUUUAACAUAGUUUGUGGGCACAAAAAUGAAGUUUCUGGAGCACAACUACUUUCAAGGAAUGACAAACCUCGAUUGGAAAAUAGACACAGAUAAACUAUUCACCUACCUCACCACUGCUGCUAGAAUUGUAUACGCCAGAACAUGGAGAUUAAAUGUCAUACCGGACAAAGAAGAAUGGAUAAGAAAAGUAAUAGAUAUCAUGAACAUGGACACCGUAACUUCACUACUGUCAAGAUCACAAGGAAAGAACACCAGAGCAAUGGACUGGACUUCCUUUACAGACUGGCUGAAGGAGAAUAAAAUUAAAUGGACAAUCUAAAAACAUUAGAUGUAAUUCUAUUAACUACCGCGUUAGGAAAUGGAAAAAUGGACUAUAAACUAGCAUAGAAAAAGAAAGAAACAUAUAUAACCACCAUGAAGAAUAAUGGAAGGACAACAACUAUUUUUAUUUUUAUGUGGGUUUUUUUCUUCAUUUUUUUUCUUUUUUCUUUUCUUCUCUCUUUCUUCCUUUUCCCUUUCUUUCCUCCCUUUUCACCCAAACCCCAA